AGUAGGGGGUCUGUCUAUUGUUGAGUAGGUGGUCUGUGCAUUGUUAAGUAGGAUGUCUGUUUAUUGCUGAGUAGGGGUCUGUCUUAUUGAGUAGGGGGUCUGUCUGCUGUUGAGUAGGGGGUCUGUGUAUUAUUGAGUAGGGGGUCUGUCUACUAUUGAGUAGGGGUCUGUGCAUUGUUGAGUAGGAUGUCUGUUUAUUGCUGAGUAGGGGUCUGUCUUGUUGAGUAGGGGAUCUGUCUCUUGUUUAGUAGAGGGUCUGUGUAUUGUUGAGUAGGGGGUCUGUGUAUUAUUGAGUAGAGGGUCUGUUUAUUGCUAAGUAGGGGGUCUGUCUAUUGCUGAGUAGGGGGUCUGUUUAUUGCUGAGUAGGGGUCUAUUAUUGAGUAGGGGUCUCUCUGUUGUUGAGUAGGGGUCUCUGUAUUGCUGAGUAGGGGGUCUGUGUAUUGUUUAGUGGGUCUGUCUAUUGCUGAGUAGGGGGACUGUCUGUGGUUGAGUAGGGGGUCUGUUUAUUGCUGAGUAGGGGUCUAUUAUUGAGUAGGGGUCUCUCUGUUGUUGAGUAGGGGUCUCUGUAUUGCUGAGUAGGGGGUCUGUGUAUUGUUUAGUGGGGGGUCUGUCUACUUCUGGGUAGGGGGUCUGUCUCUUGUUGAGUAGGGGGUCUGUCUAUUAUUGAGUAGAGGGUCUGUCUAUUAUUGAGUAGGGGUCUGUUUAUUGCUGAGUAGAGAGCUUGUGUAUUGCUAAGUAGGGGGGUCUGUCUAUUGCUGAUAGGGGGGUCUGCUUAUUGCUGAGUAGGGGUCUGUGUAUUGUCCCAACCUCACUUCCUCAGUCUGACCCCCAAGACCGGACCCCAGAGUCUCCGAGACCCAAGUGCCAGCACAGGAGAGUGUGGCCCUCUCAGGCCCCGUAGAGAGCACACCCAGACACCACAGGCGGCCAGUAUUUAGGGGAGCCCCAGUCCCACGUCUGGCCUCAGGUCAAGGCGUCCCCUUGGGUGCAAGAGCACAGAGACGGUGCGAACACAGAAGGCCCUCCCCAGAGGCCUUUCUCCGGGCAGCCGAGGCCCAGCCUGCUCUGCUC